GCUCUUGUAGUCUAGUGGUCAAGGAUUCCGCCCUCUCGCGGCGGGGACCCGGGUUCGAAUCCCGGCAGGAGCA
rnacentral:tRNA from 1 species